UUUUUUUUUUUUUUUCUGCAGCCGUUUCUCCUCCUCCUCCUCGCUGAGCGAGCACGUGAGCUCCGCGCUCAGCCGGAACGAACUCGGGGCAGUCACGUGACGUCACAUCUCCCGCGAGCUCAGCAGACGCUUGACUGAAUGGAGUGAGGAGGAGAGAGGAUGGCAGGCUUCCGUCCACAGCCGCAUAAUAUACUGCACAAAGUGUGUGUUCAGAUAGUAAGAGAGCUGAAGAGUAGGGUACAGGUUUUUAGGAGGCCUCCCAAGAGUGCCCUCUCCUCCUCCACUGCCCAGGGCGACACUGUUGUUCCUUUCUCCCUGUUGGACUGGGCUAGACUGGUGGCGCAGCAUGUCCACCAGAGCUCUGAGAGCACAGACAGAAGAUCAAAGGAAGUAAACAGUUCAGAUUACAGAGGGAUCCGACACACUGGCUGAGGACGUGUUAAGUGGAGCAGCGAUUAACAGGAAGAGGAGGAUGACACGCGUUCGGGCUCCUGAGGUGGCCAUCAUCUUUAUGUGACUAACACAACUAUUUUCUCUUGCUGACUCAACCCACUGUUCAGUGCAGAAUCCUCCUUUAAAACCCCAGUCCUUGACACCGCAUGUAAAAAUGGCAGAAAAUGAUGAAGGAAGACAAAACAGAGAACAGAGGAAUAAGAGCGAGUAAGAUAAAUGCAGCAGGAACAAAUAGAGCCAGAGGUAUGGCAGAAAAGCUCUGUGUGUGGUGAUGGUGAAGUGCAAGUGUGUGGGAGUUCAGCGAGUGGGUGGCAGAGAAUGGAGAGCUUUCUGUGACACCGCUUACCAGCACACACAUGCACACAUAGUAUACAGCACGGUAUGUUCAUGCAGCAGGUACCGAGCAACUGCAAAACACGUUUAAGCCACAGACCAAAACAAUCCACAAUGGACUAAAAUUCUGCAACACAUGCAAUGAAAUAAAGCACAUAACCAUACGCACUUCUACACAGCUGGUGUGUGAAUGGGUGCACGGUUUUUGCCAAAAAAUGAGGAAUGCACAUGCAGGUGCUGCUACAGACACACAGUGCUUUUGUUUUAUCUCUUCUGUAUUCAUUUCUUUAUUGCUGUUUAAUUGUCGCAAUUUAAUUAAGCCAUCCCUACCAAUUGCACUCUUGUCAUUCUGAGCCACUCUUAUCUCAUUGCUUAGGCAGAGUGAUGAAGUUCAGCUUGUCAUUUGCCUCUAAUUAUUCUUUAUGUAUAAUAAUAAUAUAUAAAAUGUAGUGUAUAUAUAUAUAUAUGGGGGUGGGCAACAUGAUAAACAUGAUAAAAUAAUCAUGUCACUUCUUUCUACGUUUUUUUACAAUAAAUGAUAUGUAGGUUUGCUGACAAAUUAGCAGCAGAACAGUAGCAUUUCAUCCAUCCAUCCAUUUUCAGUACCACUUAUCCUACACAGGAUCACUGGGGUGCCUGGAGCCUAUCCCAGGGAACUCGGGGCACAAGGCGAGGGACACCCUGGACGAGGUGCCAGCUCAUCACACAAUCACACACACACACACACACACACACACGUUCACACACCUAUUCACACACUGUGGGCAAUUUACGGAAAAUGCCAGUCAGCCUACACCGCAUGUCUUUAGACUGGGGGAGGAAACCGGAGGAACCGGAGGAAACCCCCGAAGCACGGGGAGAACAUGCAAAAUCUGCGCACGCAGGCCCUGUAGG